rnacentral:rRNA from 1 species
AUUGAACGCUGGCGGCAGGCCUAACACAUGCAAGUCGAACGGUAACAGGAAGAAGCUUGCUUCUUUGCUGACGAGUGGCGGCCGGGUGAGUAAUGUCUGGGAAACUGCCUGAUGGAGGGGGAUAACUACUGGAAACGGUAGCUAAUACCGCAUAACGUCGCAAGACCAAAGAGGGGGACCUUCGGGCCUCUUGCCAUCGGAUGUGCCCAGAUGGGAUUAGCUAGUAGGUGGGGUAACGGCUCACCUAGGCGACGAUCCCUAGCUGGUCUGAGAGGAUGACCAGCCAAACUGGAACUGAGACACGGUCCAGACUCCUACGGGAGGCAGCAGUGGGGAAUAUUGCACAAUGGGCGCAAGCCUGAUGCAGCCAUGCCGCGUGUAUGAAGAAGGCCUUCGGGUUGUAAAGUACUUUCAGCGGGGAGGAAGGGAGUAAAGUUAAUACCUUUGCUCAUUGACGGUACCCGCAGAAGAAGCACCGGCUAACUCCGUG